GGGCGAUUGGCUCAGCGGUAGAGCGCUUCGUUCACACCGAAGAGGUCACUGGUUCGAUCCCAGUAUCGCCCACC
rnacentral:tRNA from 2 species